AUCUCUAUGAUUGUGUCGCAAUGUGAGUAGUUACCUAUUAUUUUCUUCUGGUGGUUUCGCUUGUAGUUUGUUUUGAUAUAUUUCAUACAUUCUGCACGUAGUAUGCCAUUUUGCGUCUUUAUCAAUCUUUUAUUGUUUAACUUCUAGUUAUGAAUACGAGUCUCUCUCUUGGUCACAUUAACCUCCUACUAAAGGGUGUCAUUUAAAUUUUAAACCCAUUUUUUGAUAAAUUAAAGGAGUUCAUUGAUAUAUAUGUAUAUCCAUUUCUUUAUGCUGCCUUUCUGCGCUGCUGAUUGUUUUGGCGACUAGGCCUAUCUUCAGGAAGGAUUUUGGGCCAUGGUCGUCAUUCACACAUAUGUAAUGAGAUUAUAUAGCCUGCACAAUUUCACCAUAUCCUGUAUAUAGAGGUAUGAUGUUAAUUAAGUCGGCUUUUACACCUGAUCCCCACUCCCAAGUCCCAUCAUGCCACCUGACGCUGAAUUAGGUUAAUUACACUUUGUCAAGUUGUACCUAAAACAUUUCCUACCUUCAGGAUUAGGUCAUACGUCUUGAAGUGAAUCUCUGGCUGGUGCACAUCAUUAUUUAAGUGAAUCAACCGUGAGCAUAUUAUGAAGAAAUUUAGUUGUAUGUCAAAGGGUUACUGUGAUCAACAUAGAAAUUAAUCAAAUGAUGGAAUCAAAGGGUUACUGUGAGUUGCAUGGUCAACAGGUACAUUCUACUUGAUUUCAUGCUUCAAAUAAGGGGCCGUACUUACCACCUAUAUGCUUAAAUAAAUUUGAUUAACCUUCUAUGGUGUCGUUUGCCUUCACUAGCUUUCCCUGUCCAAUAGUGUUUUUUUAAUUAAUUUUUCUCACCUCUUAUGGUAAUUCUAAUAUUUUGGGGUUUCUGUUUCUGUCAUUAUUGUUCUUGCUGUAAAAGACAUGUAGGUACAGUUUUUAUCUAAUCUGCUUUCUUAAAAGCAUUACUGUUUGAGGAGAGUAUAUGGUCCAAAUAUUAGUGUUUUCAGUUCCUAAGCAGUACGUGUGUGAUCAUCUUUCAGGAUCAAACCUGCUGAAGACUCGGGGGUUCAGAAGCAUUCCAAGGAUGGAUUGGAUUCAAGGUUCUCUGGAAGAAAGGCUGUGAGAAUCAAUCCAGAUUAUUAUGUCCGACUAUGAAGUCAUACGUCACUCGUACAUGGUGUCUUUCAACUUGAAUCAUGUUUUGAGUGUCCUCGUAUGGUCCAUAAUGGUGUCAAUGAAGUAUGAACUCUGGGUUUGUUGUCUGUAAUUUACAAAACUCGUGCGUGUAGUUAAACUUUUGUUAUUAUUUUCUUUCCAUACCCGAGAACAGUCUGUGGGAACGUUCCUGCUCUUGGUGCAUCUUGUUGGACAAGCAAAGACCACUGUGUGUGGGAGUAACUUAGCACAGUACAGAUGACUGAUCCUUUGUAAAUUGUAAUUGAUCCCAGAUAUGUUUUGACAAUGCAAAAGUCCAAGAGUAGUCUUUCAACUUAUGUCUUGUUUUCUACUUCCAUAUGAGAAAUAGGUGGAUAACUAGAAUUUGAGGAAAUCUUCAGUUGGCAGGCUAUAGCUACCCCAGUCUGUCUUGUUGAGGUUGAAAGCCAUCAAUUGCAUUGGUACCAGACUCUUCUUAUUAAGCCCUUCU
rnacentral:lncRNA from 1 species